rnacentral:tRNA from 1 species
CCUGAUGGCUCAGUGGUAAAGAAUCUGCCUGCAAUGCAGGAGAGCCGGGUUUGAUCCCUGGGUCAGGA